rnacentral:rRNA from 1 species
GAUGAACGCUGGCGGCGUGCCUAAUACAUGCAAGUCGAGCGAACAGACGAGGAGCUUGCUCCUCUGAUGUUAGCGGCGGACGGGUGAGUAACACGUGGAUAACCUACCUAUAAGACUGGGAUAACUUCGGGAAACCGGAGCUAAUACCGGAUAACAUGUUGAACCGCAUGGUUCAACAGUGAAAGACGGUCUUGCUGUCACUUAUAGAUGGAUCCGCGCCGCAUUAGCUAGUUGGUAAGGUAACGGCUUACCAAGGCAACGAUGCGUAGCCGACCUGAGAGGGUGAUCGGCCACACGGGAACUGAGACACGGUCCAGACUCCUACGGGAGGCAGCAGUAGGGAAUCUUCCGCAAAGGGCGAAAGCCUGACGGAGCAACGCCGCGUGAGUGAAGAAGGUCUUCGGAUCGUAAAACUCUGUUAUUAGGGAAGAACAAAUGUGUAAGUAACUAUGCACGUCUUGACGGUACCUAAUCAGAAAGCCACGGCUAACUACGUG